rnacentral:rRNA from 1 species
UACGUAGGUGACCAGCGUUGUCCGGAUUUAUUGGGCGUAAAGAGCGUGUAGGCGGCCAGACAGGUCUGCUGUGAAAUUUCGAGGCUUAACCUCGAGAGGUCGGCGGAAACCAUCUGGCUAGAGUCCGGAAGAGGAGAGUGGAAUUCCUGGUGUAGCGGUGAAAUGCGCAGAUAUCAGGAAGAACACCCGUGGCGAAGGCGGCUCUCUGGGACGGUACUGACGCUGAGACGCGAAAGCGUGGGGAGCAAACGGG